AACGAACGCUGGCGGCAUGCCUAACACAUGCAAGUCGAACGAGACCUUCGGGUCUAGUGGCGCACGGGUGCGUAACGCGUGGGAAUCUGCCCUUGGGUUCGGAAUAACAGUUAGAAAUGACUGCUAAUACCGGAUAAUGUCUUCGGACCAAAGAUUUAUCGCCCAGGGAUGAGCCCGCGUAGGAUUAGCUAGUUGGUGAGGUAAAGGCUCACCAAGGCGACGAUCCUUAGCUGGUCUGAGAGGAUGAUCAGCCACACUGGGACUGAGACACGGCCCAGACUCCUACGGGAGGCGAGCAGUGGGGAAUAUUGGACAAUGGGCGAAGCCUGAUCCAGCAAUGCCGCGUGAGUGAUGAAGG
rnacentral:rRNA from 1 species